GUAUCUUCUUCCUUCCUCUCUUCCCCCAUAACAACCGGUGCACAGUAGCAGCGGCUGCGCCGGUGACCUGAGUAGGCGUAUCACGCACUCUUCCUCAAUGGGGAAGAGUAAAACUCCGGGGGAUAUAGAGGCGGCCGCCCACCAAGUGGCUGCUCGACCGCAGGCCCGACCGUGCCCGCCACCACCCAAGUCGUGGUUCCCGUGGCUGGUGCCGGUCUUCUUCAUGGCUAAUGUGGCGACAUUCGUGUAUAGCAUGUAUGUGAAUAAUUGCCCGGAGAAGACUGGGGCGGAUCGAUGCGUUUUCAACUCAUAUUUGGGAAGGUUUUCUUUCCAGCCCCUAUCUGAAAACCCACUCUUUGGCCCUUCCCCCACCACGCUGGAAAAACUAGGAGCCCUGGAGAAGAAACUUGUGGUGCAGGAAGGGGAGGAAUGGCGCCUUGUGUCAUGCAUCUGGCUUCACGCCGGAGCCAUCCAUUUAAUCGCCAACAUGUUGAGCCUUCUGUUCAUUGGAGUCAGGCUAGAACAGGAGUUUGGAUUUUUGAGAAUAGGGCUCUUGUACGUGAUUUCUGGUUUUGGGGGAAGCUUGUUAUCUGCUCUUCAUCUUCAGAAAUCCAUAUCAGUGGGUGCAUCAGGUGCACUUUUUGGGCUGUUAGGAGCCAUGCUUUCUGAACUCUUCAUGAACUGGACAAUCUACGCAAAUAAGUGUGCAGCCCUGAUGACUCUCAUGUUCGUCGUUGUCUUAAAUUUGGCUGUUGGUUUUCUCCCUCAUGUGGAUAGUUCUGCCCAUAUUGGAGGAUUUCUUUCAGGAUUUCUCCUGGGAUUCAUUCUUUUAGUCCGCCCUCAAUAUGGAUACGUAAGUCGCAAGUACAUUCCUCCUGGAUAUGAUGGAAAACGUGUGAAAUCCAAGCACAAAUGGUAUCAAUAUCUGUUAUGGGUUGCAGCUUUAGUUGCCUUAAUUUUCGGAUUUGCAUUAUGCUUGGUAAAGUUGUUCAAUUUUCAGCUAUCUUAAAACUGAUACCAUACUUUCUUCUACUAUCAACUCACUGUUAGCGAGCCCCAAUCCCAAUGUGUAAGCACAGAAGGAUUAUGUUCUUGAAAGGAUUAAAAUGGAACAUGUAGAAGAAGCUUGUAUAAAAUUUCAGAGGAACGACUCAUAUUCAAGUCAUAGAUGACAAUCAUUGUUCUCCAGCACCAUAUCAGGAAAAACAACAUGUUUUUUGGUGAAGGACUACUAUGAAAACAGUCAACCAAAAGUCGUUGUCAUGAUUGGAUGAUGUUGAAUCAUUUAAUUUGAAGAUUUUCCCUUUCCUGCGUGCAUUCUGCAUUGUCUGCUAGACUGCCAUUCUUUAAGUUUUCUGAAAUCAACAAAUCAUUCCUUCAUUUUUUAUUUUUUUUCCUAAUGAAAUGUAACAAGUGGGAUCAUACUUGGCUCCCUUCUUAUAUUUAUAUGCAUGCAAAUAAAAG